rnacentral:pre_miRNA from 1 species
GUUGUACUCCCUCCGUUCGGAAUUACUUGUCUCGAAAAUGGAUGUAUCUAGAACUAAAAUACAUCUAGAUACAUCCAUUUCUACGACAAGUAAUUCUAAACGGAGGGAGUACUUU